rnacentral:rRNA from 1 species
AUGGCCCUUACGACCAGGGCUACACACGUGCUACAAUGGCGCAUACAAAGAGAAGCGACCUCGCGAGAGCAAGCGGACCUCAUAAAGUGCGUCGUAGUCCGGAUUGGAGUCUGCAACUCGACUCCAUGAAGUCGGAAUCGCUAGUAAUCGUGGAUCAGAAUGCCACGGUGAAUACGUUCCCGGGCCUUGUACACACCGCCCGUCACACCAUGGGAGUGGGUUGCAAAAGAAGUAGGUAGCUUAACCUUCGGGAGGGCGCUUACCACUUUGUGAUUCAUGACUGGGGUGAAGUCGUAACAAGGUAACCGUAGGGGAACCUGCGGUUGGAUCACC